rnacentral:rRNA from 1 species
UUCCGGUUGAUCCCGCCAGAGGCCAUUGCUAUCGGUGUCCGAUCUAGCCAUGCGAGUUGUACGUCUAACGUAGCAAACCGCUCAGUAACACGUGGCCAAACUACCCUACGGAUCGGGAUAACCUCGGGAAACUGAGGCUAAUCCCGAAUAGCGCUCCCGAGCUGGAAUGCUGGGAGCGCCGAACGCUCCGGCGCCGUAGGAUGUGGCUGCGGCCGAUUAGGUAGAUGGUGGGGUAACGGCCCACCAUGCCGAUAAUCGGUACGGGUUGUGAGAGCAAGAGCCCGGAGACGGACUCUGAGACAAGAGUCCGGGCCCUACGGGGCGCAGCAGGCGCGAAACCUUUACACUGCACGCAAGUGCGAUAGGGGGACACCGAGUGCGAGGGCAUAGAGCCCUCGCUUUUCUGUACCGUAAGGCGGUACAGGAACAAGGGCUGGGCAAGACCGGUGCCAGCCGCCGCGGUAACACCGGCAGCCCAAGUGAUGGCCGAUCUUAUUGGGCCUAAAGCGUCCGUAGCUUGCCGAGUAAGUUCGUCGGGAAAUCUACUGGCUUAACCAGUAGGCGUCCGGCGAAAACUGCUCGGCUUGGGACCGGGAGACCAGAGGGGUACGUCCGGGGUAGGAGUGAAAUCCUGUAAUCCUGGACGGACCACCGGUGGCGAAAGCGCCUCUGGAGAACGGAUCCGACAGUGAGGGACGAAAGCUAGGGUCUCGAACCGGAUUAGAUACCCGGGUAGUCCUAGCUGUAAACGAUGCUCGCUAGGUGUGGCGCAGGCUACGAGCCUGCGCUGUGCCGUAGGGAAGCCGUGAAGCGAGCCGCCUGGGAAGUACGUCUGCAA